UUAGUUAAGUAGCCAUGGGUUAAGUGA
rnacentral:misc_RNA from 1 species